rnacentral:rRNA from 1 species
UACGUAGGGACCAAGCGUUGUUCGGAUUUACUGGGCGUAAAGGGCGCGUAGGCGGCAAUUCAAGUCAUCUGUGAAAUCUCCGGGCUUAACUCGGAACGGUCAGAUGAUACUGCUUUGCUAGAGUGCGGAAGGGGCAAUCGGAAUUCUUGGCGUAGCGGUGAAAUGCGUAGAUAUCAAGAGGAACACCUGAGGUGAAGACGGGUUGCUGGGCCGACACUGACGCUGAUGCGCGAAAGCCAGGGGAGCAAACGGG